rnacentral:rRNA from 1 species
UGGGGAAUAUUGCACAAUGGGGGAAACCCUGAUGCAGCGACGCCGCGUGAGCGAUGAAGGCUUUCGAGUCGUAAAGCUCUGUCCUAUGGGAAGAUAAUGACGGUACCAUAGAAGAAAGCCCCGGCUAAUUACGUGCCAGCAGCCGCGGUAAUACGUAAGGGGCGAGCGUUGUCCGGAAUUAUUGGGCGUAAAGAGUGCGUAGGCGGCAAAUUAAGUCAGAUGUGAAAACUAAGGGCUCAACCCAUAGAUUGCAUCUGAAACUGAUAUGCUUGAGUCAAGGAGAGGAAAGUGGAAUUCCUAGUGUAGCAAUGGAAUGCGUAGAUAUUAGGAGGAAUACCGGUGGCGAAGGCGACUUUCUGGACUUGAACUGACGCUAAGGCACGAAAGCGUGGGGAGCAAACAGG